rnacentral:rRNA from 1 species
GAGGGAAACCGAGUCUUAACCGGGCGUUAAGUUGCAGGGUAUAGACCCGAAACCCGGUGAUCUAGCCAUGGGCAGGUUGAAGGUUGGGUAACACUAACUGGAGGACCGAACCGACUAAUGUUGAAAAAUUAGCGGAUGACCUGUGGCUGGGGGUGAAAGGCCAAUCAAACCGGGAGAUAGCUGGUUCUCCCCGAAAGCUAUUUAGGUAGCGCCUCGUGAAUUCAUCUCCGGGGGUAGAGCACUGUUUCGGCUAGGGGGCCAUCCCGGCUUACCAACCCGAUGCAAACUGCGAAUACCGGAGAAUGUUAUCACGGGAGACACACGGCGGGUGCUAACGUCCGUCGUGAAGAGGGAAACAACCCAGACCGCCAGCUAAGGUCCCAAAGUCAUGGUUAAGUGGGAAACGAUGUGGGAAGGCCCAGACAGCCAGGAUGUUGGCUUAGAAGCAGCCAUCAUUUAAAGAAAGCGUAAUAGCUCACUGGUCGAGUCGGCCUGCGCGGAAGAUGUAACGGGGCUAAACCAUGCACCGAAGCUGCGGCAGCGA